UGGGGAAUUUUGGACAAUGGGGGCAACCCUGAUCCAGCCAUUCCGCGUGAGUGAAGAAGGCCUUCGGGUUGUAAAGCUCUUUUGUCCGGAACGAAACGGUUGGCGUGAAUAUCGCCGACUACUGACGGUACCGGAAGAAUAAGCACCGGCUAACUACGUGCCAGCAGCCGCGGUAAUACGUAGGGUGCGAGCGUUAAUCGGAAUUACUGGGCGUAAAGCGUGCGCAGGCGGUUUUGUAAGCCAGAUGUGAAAUCCCCGGGCUCAACCUGGGAAUGGCAUUUGGGACUGCAAGGCUGGAGUGUGGCAGAGGAGACUGGAAUUCCCGGUGUAGCAGUGAAAUGCGUAGAUAUCGGGAGGAAUACCGAUGGCGAAGGCAGGUCUCUGGGCUGACACUGACGCUCAUGCACGAAAGCGUGGGGAGCAAACAGGAUUAGAUACCCUGGUAGUCCACGCCCUAAACGAUGUCGACUGGUUGUUGGGGGUUUGACACUCUCAGUAACGAAGCUAACGCGUGAAGUCGACCGCCUGGGGAGUACGGCCGCAAGGUUAA
rnacentral:rRNA from 1 species